rnacentral:rRNA from 1 species
AUUGAACGCUGGCGGCAGGCAUAACACAUGCAAGUCGAACGCGUGGCGGGCGGGUGAGUAAUGUGUGGGACAUUGCCCGAUGGAGGGGGAUAACUACUGAAAACGGUACCUAAUACCGCAUACCAUCGGAUGUGCCCAGAUGGGAUUAGGUAGUAGGUGGGGUAACGGCUUACCAAGGCGACGAUCCCUAGCUGGUCUGAGAGGAUGACGAGCCACACUGGAACUGAGACACGGUCCAGACUCCUACGGGAGGCAGCAGUGGGGAAUAUUGCACAAUGGGCGCAAGCCUGAUGCAGCCAUGCCGCGUGUGUGAAGAAGGCCUUCGGAUUGUAAAGUACUUUCAGCGAGGAGGCGUUACUCGCAGAAGAAGCACCGGCUAACUCCGUGCCAGCCGCCGCGGUAAUUC